rnacentral:rRNA from 1 species
AGUCGAGCGGCAUCGGGAAGGUAGCUUGSUAUCUUUGCCGGCGAGCGGCGGACGGGUGAGUAAAGUCUGGGGAUCUGCCUGAUGGAKGGGGAUAACUACUGGAAACGGUWGCUAAUACCGCAUGAUGUUACGCGACCAAAGCGGGGGACCUCCGGGCCUCGCGCCAUCAKAUGAACCCAKAUGGGAUUAGCURGUAGGAGAGGUAAUGGCUCCCCUARGCKACSAUSCCUAGCUGGUCUGAGAGGAURACCAGCCACACUGGAACUGAGAGAC